rnacentral:rRNA from 1 species
AUUGAACGCUGGCGGCAUGCUUUACACAUGCAAGUCGAACGGUAACAGGCCGCAAGGUGCUGACGAGUGGCGAACGGGUGAGUAAUGCAUCGGAACGUGCCCAGUCGUGGGGGAUAACGCAGCGAAAGCUGUGCUAAUACCGCAUACGAUCUGUGGAUGAAAGCGGGGGACCGAAAGGCCUCGCGCGAUUGGAGCGGCCGAUGUCAGAUUAGGUAGUUGGUGGGGUAAAGGCUCACCAAGCCAACGAUCUGUAGCUGGUCUGAGAGGACGACCAGCGACACUGGGAGUGAGACACGGCCCAGAGUCCUACUGGAGGCAGCAGUGGGGAAUUUUGGACAAUGGGCGCAAGCCUGAUCCAGCAAUGCCGCGUGCAGGAAGAAGGCCUUCGGGUUGUAAACUGCUUUUGUACGGAGCGAAAAGGCUCUCUCUAAUACAGGGGGCUCAUGACGGUACCGUAAGAAUAAGCACCGGCUAACUACGUGCCAGCCGCCGCAGUAA